CCAAUUAAAACAGGACAACAGAACACACAUACCAAAGUCAGCACUGAACACAACAAGGAAUGUCUGAUCAAUAUUUCCAAAUACAAGUUUUCUUUGGUUAUAAGUGGCCUCACUACUAUCUUAAAGAAUGUUAACAAUAUGAGGAUAUUUGGAGAAGCUGCAGAAAAAAAUUUAUAUCUCUCUCAGUUGAUUAUAUUGGAUACACUGGAAAAAUGUCUUGCUGGGCAACCAAAGGACACAAUGAGAUUAGAUGAAACGAUGCUGGUCAAACAGUUACUGCCAGAAAUCUGCCAUUUUCUUCACACCUGUCGUGAAGGAAACCAACACGCAGCUGAACUUCGGAAUUCUGCCUCUGGGGUUUUAUUUUCUCUCAGCUGCAACAACUUCAAUGCAGUCUUUAGUCGCAUUUC